AAUCCAAUGGCCAAUAAUUACUCCCCACAACCAUAUAGAAUCCAAAUUAACACCCAAAACCCUAACCUAACUCCUCCAUUCUAAGGCAGAGCUGCACACACGCAUAGGGAGGAAGAGGAACGGACAGAGAACAGAGGAGAAAAACCUAGCGCUGCAUAUCAUCUUCCUCACAAAAGAUCCCAACACCAGAAAAAACACAUUGUUAAAUAAUUAUCUUCUUCUUUGAUUUUCUUUUCUUACAUAGCCAUGUAAACCACUGUUACACAUCACAAAAAGCCAAAGUUCCACCACUCAUAAACAUUAUUUGACCAGUCAUACUCUCCCACCGACAACCAUGUGUACUCUACCAUUCCUCCAGCCUUGCCAGUUGCAACUACUGCAGAUUUACUGUUUUCGUGUCAAAGGGGCAUUAGAUAUUUUAAGGUUUCAAUUUUUGCUUUAGUUCGAGCAUUCCGGCAAGCUUCGAGGUCGUCGAAGGUCGUUGUCCGAGGUCUUUAUUCAGUAGCACGUCGAGGUUUUCUCCGGUUCGAGGUUCCAUUUUUCUGUCAAGGUUUCGGUACCAAUCUUUGCUGUAAAGAUCAAAUUUUAGUCAAGUUGUCCUUGGUUUUAUCAUUAAUCAAAUAUUGAAGUUUUGCUGCAGAAGGUUCAAUUCUUCUUCCCUUUCUUUUCCUUGUCUUUUAUUCAGAUGACAUUUUGUGCUCUUGAUUAUUAUUUGCAGGCCGUUUAGUUCUACCUUUUGUUUGGAUGAAUUUAAUAGUACAUUUGAGUUUUGAGUUUUGUUGCAAUGCCUCAUUAGGAGAUUAAGGUUUUAAGGCUUUAGAAUUAACAAUCUGGUGAUAGAAAAAUUAAAUUAACAGAUUAAAUAGAUUUAUUGGUGGCUUGAGUAGUAAAACAAGUACUGGUGGGGUUUGGGAUUGGUAAAUUUAAAAGAAUUUGAAUCUGAGAUAAACAUGGGUCGAUAAAGUUCAUAUACAUGCUUUAGGAUUGAGUUUGGUCAAAUAAAUGGAACUAAUUGUUGAGAAAUGAGAAUGCCAUGAAUUGUUUUAUUUAGCUUUCCUUUAUUUAUUUUACUAAUUUAACCGUUAGGAGCAUGUUAAGCCGUCAUUCCUUGGGUAGGCAAAUCUUAGGUCAUUUUUUUAUUUCUUUGACGAGGUGAGAGGUUGCUCCCUUUAAUUUAUAUUCAGGGGAAUGCCCUAUAGACUUUAUAAAUAUUUUAUUUCGGGGAAUGCCCCGUAGUGAAUGUAAUUCGAGGUCGUGAUAGACUUCGUAGAUGAGCAUAAUAUAGACUUUUAGUAUUUUUCUCUUAUUUUCUUUUAUUUAGGUGGGGACAACCUUGAACCUCUUUGUGUUUAUUUUCCUUCGUGUGUUUUUGCCUCAAUUAGAAUAUUCUUUAAAGCCAACUUGAUCGAGUACACAACCGUACUAGUUACGGGACUUGGGGAAUACUUAAUACUUUCUCCCCGAGUCAAAUGAACCUCCUUAUCUAGAAUGUCUAGUGCAGACUAUGUUUUAGAGACUAAAUGUGUUUUCAAAAGGAAAAAUUAUUUUUUAACGUUGACCUGGCACACCGAAAUCAAAUAUCAGGUGGUGACUCUGAAAAUUCUUUGAAACACAUCUUUUGUCACUUUCUAAUUGAAAACCCUUUUGAGCUUCAAAAACCACUUUUAGCAUUUUUAAAGAGGGUUAGUAAGGUGAAAAAAGGGGUGUGACACUUUGUUUGUUUCAUUCCAUGUUUCGUUGUUUAUUUAUUUAUCGCUUUUUCUCAUGUGUUUAAUUCUUUAUAACUGUCAUCAUUUGCAUAACCAUGUGUCUUUUUUCCACAACAAGUCUUCCGGAGUACGCUUGAGAAUACACAGCCUUUUGUGAGUCACCCAUGUCUUUGGGGGGGGGGGGGAGGGGUUGUGGUGGUGGCAUGGGAGCGUGGAGUGAGCGUACAGCUAGAGCAGCCGCUAUCGACCACGUGCCGCCCCGAAUUGCCUUGUCUAGUGAACCCCAAAUGCAGGUCAGCUUUUAAGUCAUGCUCUUUUGCAUUAUGUCAUUAAGACCUAGCAGGGUUCGAUCCUAGGCACCGUGUCUCUUUGUAGGCGGCCUAUCCAAAUUAUGUCAAAACGGGCCCAUGGCCCAAAAAGAUAUUUAAUCAUCCCUAUGUGCUACACGUUGUAUUCUUUAAGGGUGAAGGGGUCAAUUGGUGGACCAGUGAGAAAGAAAAGAGGGUGAAGUAUAAAAUGAAGCAAGUUGGGCCAAUCCACAUUUUUCUUUCAUAGUUUUUCCCAAAAAUCAAAAAAAAAGAGAAAAAGAAAAUCCAAAAAGAUUUAACAUUUUCCAUCAUUUUUCUAAAAGAAUAAAAAAAUCUUUUCUCCAAAUCAGUUAUUUUUUUAAUUUUAUUUCGUAUCCAAUCUUUACGAACUACGCGAACCUGAUUCUCGCCUUUCGGGGCGGGAUACGUAGGCAACCCACAUAGGGUCCGGUCUUCCUAGUGAGUUUCAAGUUCUUGGCUUCGGGGGUCGUAGCCAAAUUUUGCAUGUCUAGCCACAUCAGUCGUUUUUUCAAAAUAGAGAUAUUUUUGCAAAAGUGGUUUGUUAUCCCAUGUCUUAGAGCCCUAAGUCCACAACAAGGCGUCCUCUCAGUUUUAUGGUCCAUUCCUGUUGAAUUUGCAUGUCUAGCCACUUUUGGCCACAUCAACCAUUCUUGCAAAAUGGGAUCAUUUUCACGAAAGUGGUUCAGUGACCCAUGUCUUAGAAUCUUGAGUCCACAAUUAGGUGUCAUAUUACUUUAAGGCCUGUCCUUGUUGAAUUUGCAUCUCUAGCCGUGUUUGGCCAUAUCGGCUAUUUUUGCAAAAUGGGUAAUUUUUGCAAACUAAUUUCUAGGGCCAUGAUUAUUGGGAGUUUGGAGCCAUAUAAGCCUUAGUGAGAUAUUUCCAUGUCUUAGAGGUCAUUGUUGUUGAGUUUGCACUAAUAGCCACCUUUGGCCACGUAGGCCAUUUUGCAAAAAUAGCCCAAUCGUGUCUUGCAUGUGUCCAAUAGGAGGUUUUGUGGCAUCGCAUAAUGUCUUGAGUCACCAGCUCUAUUUAGUCUUAUUCGUCUCAUUCAGGUAUGGAUUCAUUUACCAGAGCUUGAGCAUGAUAGAUGCCCCAGGACCAUCCUAGCCAUGACCGUUGCCUUCAGGAGCUGUUUGAGGGGACUUUUUAUUUUUUGAGUCUAUUUUAUGUUGUCUUUUACUUUCUAGUCUUGUACAGUAGUAUUGAGUCUUUUAGGUGGUGUCAUAGAGUCUGUCAUAGUCUAGUUGAGUUCGUCCAGUCUUUUGUUAUCGUACUUCCUAUUUUGUAUGUGAAAACUAAAUUAAAGUUAUAAAUGAAAAGUCCAAAAAGAUUCUUAUUUUUUUAGUUUAUUUUUUCUAUCACUUUUCUAGAACUAUGCUUGGUCUGAUUCAUGUGAAACAUGAUACGUAGGCAAUCUACAUAGGGUUCGAUCGAAUUAUUUUUGAAAGAAAAAAAAAGAAAAAGAAAGAGAUGAAGUUGUGGGAUGUGAAAAUUGAGAGAAACUGUGGGAUGUAAGAAAAGAGCGAUAAUCAGAAAGAAAAGAAAGGGAAAAUGAGCAAAUCAAGGAGCGUAAAAGAGGAAACGAAGAAGAAAAGGGCAACGAGAGUAAAAUUGGGAUGAUGCCAUAUGACUUUCGUACUCUCGGAGUCAUUUUAGAACCGAUAACUGUGACUAGGUGCAUUGCACAUAAUGUGAGAUUAUCUUAUGUUAAAUUCCCUAACGCUAACGUGAUGACUUCAUUUUGUUCCUCUUUGUUAUCUUCAUUAUAACAGAAGGGUGGUUGGUUUGUGGUUCUUAAACUGGUAACUCUUUUCUACAACAUAAAGUCGAAAAGCAAUAGCAAACGACAACAGAGUUGAGUUGGUCGAUACUGGUACCCGCAAGCAGUUGGUUGAAUAGGACAUUGGGUUGGUUGAAGAGGUAAGGAUGUUGAGACAACACAUGGUAGACAUGUAUCGUGCUUGGAUGACUGGGAAGGCACCACCCCCGCCACCACUAGCUCCCUAGAUACUACCCUUACCCAAGCAACCCAAUAAUAUUGUCAAAUGAUCCACCAUAUUCAGCCUCAGCUUAUCACAAUUUCCUAACCUCCCUAGUAGCUCCAUUGUUCGUCCUCCAACUACUUUUCCCAAUAAUAUUCCUCCUGAUAUUGUUGAGCCCCGCUAACGACAAGUCCCAGUGGGCGUUCCUGCUCAACGCUUUCAGCCUCAACAUCGACCCCAUGAAUAUCCCCGUACUCCAGAUAAUCCUUCCCGAUGCUACUUCUCUCCACAAAAUCCACAAAGUGAUACCUCACUUUCCCACUUCUCUAUCCAUAAUGCACUGCCAUACACUCCACAUCUACAUGACUCGCAUUGGCCUGCACCACUUCCACAAAUAUUUUACCCGCCUCCUCAUGCAUGUCAACCACCUACCCGCAAGAGGUUCCAACCGAGGUCGGAGUAUAAAAUAAAAAGGCAGCAACAAAGAGAAAAGUCUUUCACUCCUAUUGGAGAAUCAUAUGCCAGUUUAUUCUAAAGGUUAAGGCAAUUGGACAUGUUGAAACCAAUUCAGAUAAAAAUGUCAAACCCCCUUCCAAAGAAUUUUGAUUUUUCUCAAAGGUGCGCAUAUUGCUCUACUGCCCCGGGGCAUAGUAUAGAACAGUGUUGGCAUCUGAAAAGAGCAGUCCAGAAGCUUAUUGAUGCAUGUGACAUUACCGUGCAAAAUUCAGAUGCAUCAGAUACUAGCCAAAGUUCAUUGCCUGUUCAUAAUGAGACGCAUAUGGUGGGUAUGAUUUGUGUUGAAAAGGAAUAUGAGAACUCUUCUGAAUCCCUUGGAGGGCCACUUGCCGCGAAAUUUUCAGCGGUAUCAAUCUCGGUUCCAGAAGUUGUUCUUAAGAACGAGUUGGCAAAGAGGACCCAAAAGCAAUCUGCUGAGGUUAUUGUGAUAAAGACAUGUGAAGGUCCUAGUAAUGUCGAUAUGCGUCUCAGUGGCUAAGAUGUCGAGUUUGGCAAUUGGAAAGACACUCCUUUCUUGGCUAGCCAGGGAGGAGUUUUGGUGGUUUAUUUUGUUGACAUUUCUAUUAUCCGAUUUAUUUCAGGAUUGUAAUCCGGAUAUCGUCUUGUGGUUCAAACCCUUCUUCUUCUUAUUAUGCCUAGUUCGUUUAGUUGUAGUAACUCGUCUAGUGCUAUCUAGGUUGUUCCAGGGUUGUAACCCAUGUCUAUUUUGCUUGUUUUGUUCUUUAAACCCUUUCACCGUCUGUCUAAUGCAAUCUCCUGUUUUUCUGUUAUUUCUAGUCCAUCUUUGUUUAGUUCUCUUUUCCUUUUAUAGUUCUUUUCAUUGUUGAUUCUAGUGACAUGACAUGUACGCAUAACUUUCAGUCUGGUCUUGAAAGUUAGUCUAAUCUUGAAACAAUAAAACAAUGUUUAAAUAUGAUAGGGAUAUUUGAGGGAAAUAAGUAAAGAUUUGGACAUUUUGAGAUCAUUUAAAGCCCGAAUUGUAUGAAACUGGGCAGAUAGUUUGGGAAGUUAAUAGGACGAUAAGGAUUUGGUAUAAGAGAGUACGUCCUAGACAAUUUAAAGCAAGCAACUUUGAGUUCAAGUGCAUCUCAAGUUACAAGAUAAAGCCAAGGGAGUUUGUCCCAAACUGACGGAGGGUAUUCAUUGUGAAGAAGAAAUCACCCAAUGAGAGUUCUGUACUUGACACGACACUAAAGAAAGAUGGAAGGCAUAUCUGGGAUAUCAAUGCUGAUGCUGCAAAAGAAAUGUUAUGCAUGAUCUUCCUUUUUCACCCUCAAGUUUCAUGUGUUGUACUUGGCAUUUUAUGAGAUUGGGAAGCCCUCUUUCAACUACCCAAACACUUUAUACCCUUCGGUACCCUUUUGAGCCAGUGCUGAUUUCUUUGACCUCCCCUCCUUUGGAAUUAAGUUAGAGUCAUUAAAAAAACAAAUCAUGCCCCCAUAAGGUUUGUUUUAGAAAGUUCAUUCCAUAGAAAAAUUCAAAAAGAAAAAAUAAAAAAAAGUGGAAAAAGAAGAAAAAAGAAAAAUAGCAACAACAAAAAGUAUUCUUUUGAACUACGUUCGACGUGAUUCUUGUCACCACAAGAUACGUAGGCAGCCUUACGAUUCGGUCGCACCAAAUAAAAUAUUUCAUAAUCUCACAAGGUACAGAGUGGGGUAGUUUUUUUUAGAAAUUCCAUCUCAAAAGAAAAGAAAAAAAAAGAAGAAGAAAANNNNNNNNNNNNNNNNNNNNNNNNNAAAUAUUUCAUAAUCUCACAAGGUACAGAGUGGGGUAGUUUUUUUUAGAAAUUCCAUCUCAAAAGAAAAGAAAAAAAAGGAAGAAGAAAAGAAAAAAAAUUAAAUUCUCUUGUUGCAGAAACUAGGGCAUAAGUUUCGUUUUCUAUAAAAGACGGUUCCAAAAGUUGUAAAGUUAUACCCCAUUUUGUCUUAUGUUUGAAUUUGAGCAUUCUUGCCUUUCUUUCUUUCUAACCCUCACCAAAAGUCAUAUUACAAUCCAAAAAAGACCUUCUAGAUAAUCUUUGAGAGUGCCGAGUUAGACAUGCCAGGAGCAUAUGAUAUUUUUACCAUAGUUAAUGCCUUGUCAUCUGCAGAAUCAGAGGAAAUAAAAAGAAAAGAAUAAAAUGAGAGAGUCAUAUUGGUGAAAACCCUCACGGGCACCAUAAGACGACUGUGAGUUGAGAGAAAGAACAAAAUGAGAGAGGCUUGAUGGUGAGAACCCUUUGGGCACUACAAGUCGAAUAAGGAUCGUGAAUCAGAUAGGAUAAUCGGAGCAUUGAAGCCCAGUUUCACGGCUUAGAGGUAUAGCAAGAGUUGAACAUUAGACUUGCUUGACAGAUUAGGCCGCUUAACCCAAAAUGCAUGUCACGGUUAUUAGAGUUGGUUUCACAUCAGAUACCUUUCUACUUGAUAAUUUUCUUGUUAGAUAUCAUCUCUUUUCAUUGUCCCCUUACUCUGUUCCCCUUGCUUUGUUUAAGUCCUCUUUUUGAGUCUAUUUCUUCAGAACAAGUGAGAAAUGACUUCAAAAUUUACUACCAGCUUUUCAAUUGCACAAAGCGGAGUCUGACUAGCACAUCAAAGUGGCAUAAGUCAGGGAAAAGUGGCAUGCGCACUGAGUUGAUAAAAAUUGAAGUGCUUUGGGAUUCAUGUGAAAUGCAAAGGUUCGGUAAAUGUCAAUUCAUGGGCACAAUGCAACAGAUAGAGGAUUUGGGUUUGAACAGAUCAUAGGUAUUUUCUGUGAUAAGGGUGACAUAGAAAGUGGUUAUCCAAUAACAAUCAAGGUCUUCCAAGUUGAAAUCAAAGUUAUCAUGGCAAGUGUAGGAGCAAUCGCCCUCAAGAUCAAGGCCACAAACUAACCACCAUAUUUUAAACUCACAAGUCUUCUUUGUUUGAAACAGAGACGAAGACUAUGUCCAAAUCAAAGCUUGGAAGCUUGAAUUUUUCAGGUGUCGCGUCCAAAUUUUGUCAGCACAAAGGUUGUUUGAGAAGGUUUUUACCUGAAAGACAUUCCCCUAGUUGAGAAGAUCAUACCUCCUAGGAAUUCUCCCCAUUCGGAAGAAUUUUUUAUUUUUCUUUAUAUUCAGGGGUCCCUCCUGGAGAUUAGGGUCAGCUCCUAGUUUCCUUAAGUUGUUAAUUUCUAGUUUUUCUUAAGUUCAGAGGUCCCGCCUGGAGAAUAGGGUCAGUUUUUAGUUUCCUUAAGUUGUUAGUUUUUAGUUUUACUAGAGUUCAAGGGGUCCCGCCUGUAUAAUAGGGUCAGUUUUAAGUUUCCUUAAGUUGUUAGUCUUUAGCUUUUCUUGAGUUCAGGGGUCCUACCUGGAGAAUAGGGUCAGAUUUUAGUUUUCUUAAGUUGUUAAUCUUAGUUUUUCUUUAGUUCAGGGGUUUCGCCUAUAGAAUAGGGUCAAUUUUAGUUUUCUUAAGUUAUUAAUCUUUAGCAUUCCUUUAGUUCAGGGGUCCCGCUUGGAGAAUAUGGUCAAUUUAUAGUUUCCUUCAGUUGUUAGUCUUUAAUUUUCUUAAGUUCAGGGGUCCCACCUGGAAAAUAGGGUCAAUUGUUAGUUUCCUUAAGUUUUAAUCUCUAGUUUUUUCUUGAGUUCAGGGGUCCCGCCUGAAGAAUAGGGUCAAUUUUUAGUUUAGUCAAGCUCAGUUUAUAGUUUUUCUCAAGCUCAAUCUCAAAUCUAGGAGACGCACUUCCUAAUUUGGGUUUUUCAGAUUUUAUUCCUUUAGGAGAUGCACUUCCUAAUUUUAGGUUAAAGGUUUCACCCCUAUGAGGCACACUUCCUAGUAUGGGUUUUUCAGGAUAUACUUUUAGGAGACGCACUUCCUGAAUUGAGAUUUCACCCCUAGGAGACGCACUUCCUAGUUUGAAUCAUUCAAGUUUCACCUCUAGGAGACACACUUCCUAGUUUGGUUCAUUCAAGUUUUACCCCUAGGAGACGCACUUCCUAGUCUCAGUCUUUCAAUUUAAUCUUUUAGGAGACGCACUUCCUAGUUUGGUCAUUCAGGUUCAUCCCUUGGAGAUGCACUUCCUAGUUUGAGUCAUUCAAGUUUCACCUCUAGGAGACGCACUUCCUAGUAUGGGUCGUUUGAACUCAUCCCUAGGAGACGCACUUCCUAGUUCGGAUCAUUCAGGUUUUAUUUUUAGCAGACGCACUUGCUAGUCAAAUUUUCUUGGUUUUACUCAUAGGAGACGCACAUCCUAGCCGACUUGAGAGUAUUCUAUGUUGACAUAAUUUGUGCAUACUCCAGAAUAAUCAACAACUUGAAUUAUUAUUCUUUUGCGCGGCUACCCCAUACUAUAAGAACAAAAGUUGAUCGGAUUCAUUGGAUACUCGUAAACUUCCACAUAAGGAAGUAAAACCAGAGAUGGAAAUAUAGUAAUCAUCAUAUUAUAUUAAAAGUAGGAGGCUCUUACCUUCAAAAGUUGAAUUACAAUAAUAUCCUUCAAAAUUUGAAAUACUAUUUUCUUUUGGAGAAAAAAAAUGAUUUUUCACAAAGUGAUUACCCAUUAUUACAUUAAAGUGGCUAAAGAUGGAUAAUUGUUCAUAUACCUAUAAUUAACGCAGCCCGUAAUUAAAAUUUUCAAUUAUUACUCCUUUUUCCAUUUCAUCUUUGUUUCUUCUUCCAUGGUAGUUACAAUUUUGCAGAGUCUAUUUAAAUUCUUUCCGCUAUAAAAGUGCAUACCAGUUUGUCUAUCACUGAAGCACACUAUACUAUUUCUUUUGUUAUGUCAAAAAUUUCUUUUCCCCUAAAAAUUCAUUUUGGCGUAUCCUUGGCAAAUAUGCACUUCACGUUUCCGGAAGUAAGUAUUUUUAGCAGACGCACUUGCUAGUGAAAUUUUCUUCGUUUUACUCACAGGAGAUGCAUAUCCUAGUCGAGUCUUUAGUUUUACUCUCAUCAUUGCAUCAAUAGUAUAGGUGGUUUACAGCUUUGCUAAUAACUCACAAAUCUUUCUAGUGUAAAUUGGGGCAAAAAAUUUUGUUUGUUGUGUUGUUUUGAUUGCAGGCACCCACCUGGAGAACGAGGGGCAAUAUUUCAGAAAUUGAUCCAAGUCAAGAAGCAUCAGGAGCCCGC
rnacentral:lncRNA from 1 species